rnacentral:lncRNA from 1 species
GUAUCAGCGUCUCAGUUUAAGCAAAUAUUGUUACAAUGUAACGAUAUCUUAAAUCGAUGCGUUGAUAUGUAACAUCUAUGUGUAGGUUGAGUACUCCUUUAUAAUAAUACUUAAGAUUUUGAUUCCUUCUCAUUCCGUCUCCCAAUUAAUUUGAUCAAUCGUUCCAAUUUCGAAUUAAUAAACACGUCGUGAAAGUAUUUUUAACUUUCAAACGAAAUUUUCCACUUAUUUCAGGCUGAGUCAACCCUCUUUACUCUCCAUUUUGGUUGUCCUACAAACACGUUACUUAGUAAUGUGGGUUUGCCUUUCACAUUGGUGUUGUAUAUGCAAAUUUAACCAAUGUUGCAUUCAAGAUAGACAAUGCACGUAACGUCGCCGCAAGUUCGAUACGUAACAGACGAUCCCGGCGCAGGUUUUAUCAAGAGAGAUCAACAACCGAAUCAUUUGCAGUACUCGGGAUAGGCAGCGACAACGAAAUUGAAAGGAUAUUCUUGACUAAAGUGUUUUCCGGUAAUAUGACAUGGAUGAGAAAUAAUUUACAGGUUCCAUCUCCCUUAAAUCUCACAACUAUAAAGUCUGUGUCGUCCGGUGAAGAGGUUUGAUACAUUUCUAAGAUUAAAUUACCAAAAGAGAAAGAUUACACAUGUUUGAGUGAUGCAAAUCCUGUGCUCUAGGCAAGCAUUUCAUGCAUAACUUACUGCACGGGCUGCGGCUGACUUGUAACAUCAGUUCCGUUUCUGCUCCCAGCCAUUCCUGCCCCGUUAGUGGUUGCCGAGUCACUGAAAGGAAGUUGAGGAUCAGGACCAGAUGUAGUUGAAGAUGGUAUAUGUAACGGGUGUUGGAGUUUGAAUGAAAUUUCAACUCAAAUGUGGGGUAUUGUUGGAAAUUUGAGUAGUUUGAGUAGAAAUUUCUUUGUCUCACAUUGGCCAUUUCCAAAAGAUUUUAUCACUUUAUAAGGCUUUGUCUUUUAUAGAAAGUGAUUGGAAUAAUAGGUCUGGAGACUAAAAUUGGGCUCACCCUUGGAGUUGGGCUUUGGGAUUUACUAAUUAAUUGGUAAUUAAUUAUAAUUAAUAUAUAUUUUUUUCUGUGUUUUAAAUGCCAUGCAGAUGAAUGUAUAUAUAGUGUGAUUAUACCUGUUCGCAACAUGUAUGAGGAAGGGAUGCAUCUGUUGGGAGACAUCAUAAACAUCAUUUCUGAGAGAACCACAUUAAUAUUCGCCAGAAGUCAAUUUUCCGGUGCUGAAAUUUCUGACUUAGAUCGUUGAAUCCUGAUGAAGCAGACGUCCGUAGAACUACAAGCACUGAAUAGGGGCGAAAUUUUUGUUUCAAGGACAUUGCGGUACGCAAGCCUCGAUCUUUUGUUACUCUGCUUAAUUAAUAUUUCAUCUUGUUGAGUCUCUGGAAUAUAUUUAUUCGUAUUUAUUAUUAGCAUAUUUAUUUUAUUGCGGAUUGUUGACAUAUAUCCAACAACCGGUGGUCAAAUUUACAAGCUGGCCCAAAUUUGCAAAUGCCAUAGCGACUGUGAUGUGUGCAAAUGUUCUGAUCCUGGAUUUUGAAACAAAUUUUGUGUGGUCAAUGGCGUGCAAUCAUGUAAUAUGCGAUCAAACUGAGGCUCUCAUAGAGCGGGAACAAUUGUCCUCACAUAGUAUUUCAUUUGUUUUACCUUAAUGUAUCACAAAGUGAAAACCUUUCGAAGAUCGUAUUUCCGAAAUUAUGAACUCGUAAUAAAGGGCAUGCUCAAAGAAGGGUGAACUUACCGGUCUCAAAGGCAGGCCCUUGUCACUGAGUGCGAUUGGGGCGGCUACUGCAGUGCAGUAUGACUUGUUGGAUGGUGAUAUUUGCAAUUAGAUUUAAACUUGCAAUCCCCCGUUCUUAAGAAAUAAGGUACCGUCUGGUACGCAAACGGGACGGAACGGGAUGGAAUGUGUGAAAUUCCAUCCUUAAUUUGUCGUAUAUUAUAUUAUCGAACAUAUGAUUACCAAAUUGUCCUUGAGGCAUGAACGUUGACUUUCGUUGACCGUCUCGUCGUGACGCGUAUUACUAAUUUUCUUAAUUUAUUCUUAUCGUACUCAUCGAUACGAACGCGUAGGCGCGAACGGAUUUGAAUUUGAAGUUAUAACGAAUAUUUUACAUUACGAAACGUCGAACGUUUUUCGAAUAUUUUGUGUUUCGUCUUUAGUGACCUUGUUUUGUGAGCCAUAGGGACCACAUGUUUUCUUCAUUUUUCCUCGUAACCCCUCUCUUCUCUCUUCCAUCUAUUAUUUUCUGAACACUCACUCUCUCCCUCUCUACACUCUUGGCCAUCUCUCAAACCAACCCUCCUAGAGGGGUUUCACUCAAACAAAUCACACAACAACAACCUUGGUACCACCACCAUCACUCCUAUGAACUCAGAAUUGAAAGAGGACCCUCCAAACUCGCUGCACAGCGUUCACCACUGUUCACUGAGUUUUUCGACGAGUUUCCACCUUUUUUGACGAAGGUAAGCCUCAAAACUUGUCCAAAAGUUGUAGAUCGUGUCUUGGUGUAUGUUUACAGGUAGUUUUGAGAAGUUUCGGUGAUGUUUGGACGUAGGAAUCUCAUGGGGAAAACUUCCAUAGUUUUCCCGGUGAAGACAGCCACUUUCGAGCCAUUUUCCGGCCGAACCACGACGAGUUAGUCAUCAAGAAAGGUACCAUUCUCUUCCUCUCAUCGAGAAGUAUGAUUUUCGUUUUUGAAUCACUCAAUGACGUUGAGUAUUGAAGAAGUUAUGAAUGUUUAAAGUUUACCUAGUUUACGGCGAGUUCUCCGGUUUUCCCACGGACCGGUCACACUUCAAGCCAUUUUCCGGCUAUUUUCGGCAACCAUUGGGCUUCCAAAUAGGUAUAAUCUUGUUCGACACUUUCCUAUCUUCAUUUUAUAUAUUAUGGGUCGAAUUUGGUUAAGAAACACGUGAGUUGAGAAGCUUUGAAAAUUACCCAACUUCCAGCCAAAAAUCCCAAUUUCUAGUAUAAGCUCCGACGGCUCGGCUCGGCUCAGCUUCAGCUGACUUCUCAAUCAGUGUCGACCAUUGACUGUCAACAUUGACUUUUGGGUUGACAUUUUUUGGUUUCGGCUGGGACCCCUCCUAGACUAAUUUCGACGUCCUAAUUCCAAAUAUGCGCUUCUUUUUUCCAAAUUCAAUCAUUUUAGUAGAGUUUUAUUAAUUGGUCCCUUCAUGUGCUUAGGUGCAUUUGUUAGUGGCAACCCCGUCCUCUCUAGUUAAAACGGCUCUUCGGCGAUAGAGUAUCUGUUAGUUGACCCCUUCCAAAAUGCAUGAUUUUAUUACUAGAGAUGCAUACAUGAAAAACAUGAUUUUAUGGCUACAUUUUAUGAAACGUUUAUGAGUAAAUUGGAUUUACGCUUUGUGAAAUAUCAUGCUUUAUCAAAUUUAUGUUUACUGAGAUAUUUAUGAAUAUGAUUUAUUGAUAUGAUGUUUGAGCUAUUGAGCUCCGAUGAGAUAUAUUUUGGAAAGAUUAUGUUCAUGAUUUUAUGUGCUUACUUAGUGAAUGAUACUUAUAUAUGCCUUCGGGCCGGUGAUGAAGGGCCUUUGGGCGAAUGAUACUUAUAUAUGCCUUUCGGCGAGUAUGAAGGGCCUUCGGCCGGGCGAGUGAUACUUAUAUAUGCCUUCGGGCGGGUGAUGAGGGCCUUCGGGCAAAUGAUACUUACAUAUGCCUUCCGGCGAAUGAAAUACCACUACUAAGCACACUAUAUAUGAUAUAUGUUUUACAAAGGUUUUAUGGCAUGCUAGGGUUUUCGGAAAACCUAUUACUUAUUAUGCUAUAUGAGUUUCUAAAACUAGGGUUUAGUACGUUAAAGAAUAACUGUUUUAGUAUUACAUAUAUAUAAACUUAGUCCACUCAUGUUUUUUGUUUUGAGCCCCCUUAGGACUUAGGAACAAGGCAUACGACCCAAGCUACAAGGCAUUCCCAUAUCGGUGAAUUUGUGUCCUCUCUGCGUAGGACAUCUCUUGUAAUCGCACCUUCUGAUAUCCCUUCCACUUGUAUUUCGAAUUAGUAGUAAUACUCUGAACAUGUCAUGCAUUAUUACUUUUAAAUUGUUGGCAGUGAACUAUUAUUAUAUUUUCUAUUAAGGUUUGUACUUGAAUAUUACAUUGCGUGGUUAAGCACUAAAUUUAUAUGCAUGUUUCACAUGUUCUUGGCAUAUGCAUUCAUUAAAUGGCUUGCGUCACCCUUGAGUGUCGGCGAGCACGUGGCCAUCCCGUUGGCCUUUGGACACCGGGAUCGGAGCGUAUCAAAAUGGGACGGAACGGGACAGUUGUUCCAUUCUGCAUUUGCAGCUUCCGAGUCACAGAAAGGAAUCUGAUAAUGACGGAUGGUCAAAUCUACAGGUUGGCCCAGAACUGCAAACGCCAAAGCGGCUGUACUCUGUGCAAAUCUUCUGACCCUGGAUUGGAAACAAAUUUAGGAUGAAAGUUUAUGCAAUUGAUGGCAUGCAAUAACGAAGCACAAUAACUGAUCAAACCGAGUAUUUCAUAUAGGAGAGGCAAGAGAGGAACUGUUAGUUAAGAAUCCUUCUAUUUUGAAAGAGACAUCCAUAACUUUCAUUACAAAUUAUUUUUCGCAAGGUCAAAUGAGUCUCAGUAAUAUACAUUUUCUUGGUACAUUGCUAAUUAUCCAAGGUACACUAAAAUUUGCAAAAAGACUUCAAUUCCAAUAUUAUCCCAUCACUUAAUCAAAAUAAAAAGUUUGAAUAACAAGUGGUGGUUAGUUAUUAAUGCUGUCAAGGGUGAAAAAAUAUGCACAUUGGCAAACGGUGAACUCAUUGGCCCAAAAGAGAAUAACUUAGAACUUAAAAACCAACCUUCUGUGCUACUUGUAUCACAAAGUGAAAAACCUUUUUGAGAUCAUAAUCCAUAGUUACGAAUUCUGUAUAAAAAGAACAGUUCGAAGAAGAGUGAACUUACUGGUCUUAAAGGGAGGCCCCUGUCACUGAGUGCACAUGAGGGGGUCGCUGCAGUCUGAUUUUUUGGAUGGUGAUAUUGGCAAUUAGAUUUAUUAUCACAAUCCCCUGUUUGAGCGAAAUAGAAGCAAACAGGUUGCCCAGGUCGUUCUGGUAAUUCUUCAGCUUGCGUCUGCUGUGCAUAUUGUCCGUAGUAGUUGGUUUCAGUCACCGAGUUGUUCGUAACAUAUGGUGGAGGUGCAGGCAUGUUUCUAUGAACAUAUGGUGGAGGUGGUGGAGGUGGUGGAGGUGGAGGUGGAGGUGGAGGUGCAGGCAUGCUUGGUAGAUAUGCUGGAGCCUAAACAUGUUUUGGCCAAUACAAAAUUAGAGAGAAAAGCAUGUUUUUGAAAAUGCAAACGAGAACAGCAGUAAUUCUAUAAAUUCUACAAAAAAAAGGGGCUAUUCUUACUUAUACCCACAAACUAAUACGGAACCCAAAUAAGAAGUCUAGAUGUACCGAUGUGAAAAUGUAAGCAUAUUACCACAACUGAUGUAGACAACAAUUUGUUAUCAAUAUUCAAAUCUUCAAGAAUUUAACUUCUUUACAAAGAAUAUUAGAAUAUCACAAUAAGUCCUUAAUGUAGGACCAUAUUAUUAUUUUUAUGAGCCGAACAUGAAUAAAAAGGGCAUGAGAAGAAAAAAAAAAAAAAGAGGUCAAAACACAAAAAGAUCCGACUAUUAUCCCAAAAGAGACGGUAAUUCGCAUAUCAAAAAGUGAUGAGAGUUAUUUAAAUUUUAAACCCAAGACUUUAAUAAGGGAGUGAUGGCUAAAGUACCUGAUAACCAUUCCAUUCUGUAGUUUCAGAAUUAAUCCCUUGAGAAUUUGGCAGACCUUGUAAUGAUGCAGGCCUACCAUUACCAUACGCGGAUUGCGGGUGAGAUUCUCCAGCAGCUGUAGGAUCAGGGUGGUUAAACUUGCAGUUUAUUCCGUACUUGCAGGUCCCAGUUCGCAUAUAGUAGGAACAAUCUUUCUCCCCCUGUAAUACGUUAAAACAAUUAUUCAGCAAACAUAUGGACACAUUAAAUUGGUCCAAAAGAAUAAGAAAAUAAGCAAAGAUAAAAUCUUAAACCUUAAACAUCAUGAAUAGAUAGAAAUUCAUUCCUCAAAUUUUUACAGAUCAAAUCUAGAGCUUAUACCGGACGAAUUGGCAGGUCCGAAAAAUUAAGUUCCAGAGCUGGAGCUACAGAAGGUACCCCUAUACGUCGUCCUGGGCUGAUGUAAUACUGCAACAAGCUUAAGUGUUGUAUUAAGAUCGUGAAACUGUUACUAGGCCACCACGUAGCACAGAUUUGAAUACGAGGGUACAAAGGGAAAGAAAUGUCUUUGACAUUUAAAAACAUAAUUGUAAUCCUGUAUAAAAAGGAAAAUGUAAUUGUAAUGUAACAGCAUACAAUUGUGAAAACACAUCGACUAUAAGUUGAUCACGUUCAAGACCCUCAUCAUUCUAUAGUUAGCUACAAGAUGAAAAAGGUUUAAGCUUGUAUAUUCACUAGCGCAUUCUAACCAACUAGCUUUCAGAUAACCAUAUCGAAAAACCCCAUCGUCAAAACACAACAUAGUACUUGAAAUCAAAUAUGCGAAGUAAAACAAAACUUAAUGAUGUAAAACAUGAAAACCAAGCAAUUGCAGUAAAAACCAGAACUUCGGAUAGAUAAUAACCUUGCUUUCGGUCUGGUCUUGCUUCUCUUCCAACUCUUCCCUCUGCUUUGCCUUGUCCUUCGACACCUUCAAAUCAAUAUGAUAAAGUUCAAAACACCAAGAAACACAAAGUGAGCACCAACGACACAAUUAUUUCCUGCAUUCAUACAAGGCCAGAUGCAUUAAUGUCUCAAAUACUAAAUGCAGGCCCAAAGUCCCGAUUUGUUUCAGAUACAUUUCACCACAACGAUGCACGUGAAAGAAAAACAUCAUCUUUAACAAAUAAAUGCGGAACAAGAGAGAUAUACCUGCUUGUUUUUCCCUAUCCGAGGGUGAUUAUACUUGCAAUUCGAUCCGAACUUACAAAUGCCAGUCCUCAGAUAGUUCCAACAGUCUCCAAGCCUCAAUGGGUACUGAUCCCUUCUGCUACUCUCCUCAACAACCUCCUCCCCCACCUCACCACCAUUCUCAUUCCCUCCUCCGCUGCCACUGCUGCUACUGCUUUCGCUCUUUUCCCUCUCUCUCUCCUUCUCCUCUUCUUCUUUUUCCUCAUUUUCCUUCAAACUCAAUUUUCGAAUCCCAUCAACGAUGGAAGGAUCGAAGUUCCGAUCCUCAUCCAGGAAGGCGGGGUCGAAUUGCUGAAUCUCAUCGAGCACGGCGGGGCCGAGUGUCCCAAUCCAAUCAAGGAUUUCAACAACGGACGGCUCAGGAGACGGAACGGACGGCUCAGGAGACGGAACAGACGGGGGAUUUUGAGGAACGUCUACGCUUUCAGAAAUUUCCCAAGGGAAAGCAGGGUCCAAGUUCCGAAUCUCAUCAACGAUGGAAGGAUCGAAGUUGCGAAUCUCAACGGCGGGGUCGAAUUGCUGAAUCUCAUGGAGGAGGGCAGGGUCGCGAUUCCUAAUCCUAUUGAGCACGGCGGGGUCGAGUCUCCGAAUCCAAUCAAGGAUUUCACGCUCGAGAUCGGACGGCGCAGGUGACGGAACAGACGUCGGAUUUAGGGGAACUUCGGCGCCUUCAGAAAAUUUCGAUUUUUGUCCGGAUCUGAAGUACUUAUAAAUUACGACCAGCACUGACAGUGACACCGGUAGGAGGACACGCGCCGCUGUGAACAUAGUUUUUGUGCUGAUGGCGGCGGCGGAUGCGGCGGCGACGGUAGCUGAUAGGACUCCAGUUCACAGAGGAAGAAAUAAAAGGAAGACAGCUAAGUUAGGUAGAAAAGUUAAGGCAUUUUCAUUUCAUAAUCCGAGGAGAUACAAUUGGGGGUGCUUAUAUAUAACCCAUUAGCCAACACAAACAAAAGGCUCAAGUGCUGAGUCAUCCUCUAAUAACUACUCUCACUACAAUACAGGAUAGUAAUAAAAGGUAAAGAAGGUGGACCCGAUAAGGUUCUAACAUGGCUCUCCCCCCUUAACAAGCCUGUCCGCAGGCGUUAAACCCAGGAAAACGAGUUAAGAUAGAGUCGGCAUCCUCCCACGUAGCAUCAUGCUCCGGAAGACCUUCCCAUUUAAUGAGCCAACGGGUGAUUGCUCGAUUGUCUUGCUUGAACAUGCCACGCUGAAGUAUCUUUUCUGGGGUCCAGAUGAAGGCACCAGUCAAGGAAACUGGGGGAAGAGUUGGUGAUGCAACUGUAUAAGCACCCACAUUGGGUUUAAGUAAGGAGACAUGGAAGGUAGGAUGAAUGCGAGAGUGAGGAGGCAGGUCCAGAGUAUAUGCCACUUGACCCACGCGAGCAAGCACCUUGAACGGUCCAUAGUAGCGAGGAGCCAAUUUAGGGCAAUGCGUCUUAGACACUGAUGUCUGGCGAUAGGGUUGAAGCUUGAGAAAGACCCAAUCCCCAACUGAAAAGGUUCGCUCCGAACGAUGUUUAUUAGCCUGCUGGCGCAUCCGAUGUUGAGCGAGGUGCAGGUUCUCCCGCAAUUGCCUGAGCAGGGCAUCGCGAUCUCGAAGGGUGACAUCAACCAGAUGAACCAGAUAAGAGCCAGGAAGAUAGGAGGACACCGUUGGUGGUGGGUAGCCAUAGACUGCCUGAAAAAAGGUCAUUUGAAUGGCAGCUUGAUAGGUAGUAUUAUACCACCACUCGGCCCAAGGAAGCCACUGUAUCCAAUCAUUGGGUUUGUCCCUUACAAAACUGCGCAGAUAUUGUUCAAGGGUGCGAUUGAGCACUUCGGUUUGGCCAUCGGAUUGUGGAUGAUACGCCAAGCUCUUGCAAAGAGUGGUGUGCUGCUGUUUAAAGAAGGCAAUCCAAAAAUCACUAAUAAAGACUGGAUCCCGAUCACUCACUAUGGAAGCCGGCAUGCCAUGAAGGCGAAAGACUUCGUGAAUAAAGAUAUCAGCGAUUUUGGCCGCCGAGUAUGGGUGUUUGACCGGAAUGACGAUCCACUACCACGAAAAUAACGUUGCGCCCAUGGACCGAAGGAAGGCCUUCAAUGAAAUCCGUGGCAAUGUCGUGCCAUACGUUGGUGGGAAUGGACAGAGGUUGCAAGGGGCCUGGUGGUUUAAUCGUCUCAUACGUUGUACACUGGCAGGUGUCACAGGCAGCCACAAACUUUUUAACAUCUUUUUUUAGCCCCGGCCAAUUGAAAUUGAGUGUUAACCUCUUGUAAGUGCGUAGAAAGCCCGAGUGUCCCGCAGAUGGUGAAGAAUGAAACUCAGCAAGGAGGCGUGCUCGCCAAGGGGAAGAGGCAGCAACAAAAAACCCCCUUCUUAUAGUAUAAGAGAUCGCCGUGGAGUUUAAAUAAAGCAUGACGCUCCAGGUCCUGUUGCAAGGCCGCCAACAGUGAAGAGGCCUGAGGAUCAGUGGCAUAGUCUGCUUGUAUCGCAGCGAUACAAUCAAAAAGAGGCUGAGAUAGUCCCAUUAACCCAAGAACCUCAGGACGUCGGGAAAGAGCAUCAACAGCGGCGUUCGAAGUGCCCGGCCGAUAUUCCAGCGUAUAGUUAUAACCAAGUAACUUCAACAACCACCUUUGUUGAGUUGAAGUAGUGAUGCGCUGAUCAAGGAAAUAUUUCAAAGUCUGGUGGUCAGUAAGGAUCCGGAACUGAUGGCCUAUCAAAUAAGAACGCCAUUUUUGGACCGCAAAGACCACCGCCAACAUCUCCUUAUCAUACACCGAAAGAGCCUGGUGUUUUGGAGCUAAAGGUUUGUUAAGGAACCCAAUGGGAUGACCCUCAUGUGAUAAGACGACGCUAAUACCACUAUCAGAGGCAUCGCACUUAACCGUAAAUGGUUUGGUGAAGUCUGGAAGAGCGAGGACCGGUGUGGAAGACAAUGCCUGUUUGAGGGCCGAGAAGGCCUGAGCAACGUUGGUGGACCAUUGGAAACUGUCAGUGCGUAAUAAGUCCGUAAGUGGUCGUGCUAUUAUGCCAAAAUGAUGGACAAAUUUGCGAUAGUAGCCUGCGAGACCCAAAAACCCACGAAGGGCCCGAACAGUGGUUGGUGUCGACCAAUCUGAAAUCGCAGAAAUUUUAGAGGAAUCCACGACCACCCCUGUGACGGAUAUAAUGUGUCCCAAAUACGCAAUUGAAGGCUGGCCAAACAGACACUUCGAAUGCUUCAAUUUGAAUUGAUAAGUGCGUAAGAGCUCAAACACCUUAGCUAAAUGUGAGACAUGUUGUUCCACAGAGGCACUGAAAACCAAUAUAUCAUUAAAGAAAACUAUCACUGACUUAUGCAGCAAGGGCUUCAGAAUGGAAUUCAUUAAUGCCUGGAAGGUGGCUGGAGCAUUGGUCAGGCCGAAUGGCAUGACCGUGAACUCAUAGUGCCCCUCAUGUGUUCGGAAAGCGAUUUUAGGAAUGUCCGGUUCAUGCAUCCGUAUCUGGUGAUACCCCGAACACAAGUCGAGCUUCGAAAAUAUAACAGCACCCCGUAACUCGGCCAAUAAUUCAUCAAUAAUAGGGACUGGAAAACGGUCUUUGAUAGUGACAGAAUUCAAAACCCGAUAGUCCACACAAAACCUCCAUGUAUUAUCCUCUUUGGCCACUAAGAGCGUCGGUGAAGAAAAUGGGCUGUGACUGGGCUUGAUAAUACCCGUAGCUAACAUUUCCUCCACCUGCUGUUCAAGUUCAGCUUUUUGAGCAUGUCCAUAAUGAUAGGGUCUCAUAUUCACGGGGCCAGUUCCCGGAAGCAGAGAAAUCCGGUGAUCAAUGAGCCGGUGAUGGGGUAGGGUAGUGGAGGCUUAAAAAAUGUCAGAAUACUGGAGUAGUAAGGCUUGAAGGAUGUCGGGUAGUGGUGCUGGAUGAUAUAACCCUGUUGGUAAAUUGGAGAUCUGCGCCAUAAUAUGGAAAGGGUUCCUAAGGGAAGGAUCCAAGGAAGACAAUGGAGGUAUGGCCCCGGCUGAAUGGGCUGAAGAACCUACUAGACGAUAAUUGGUGCCCUGCACAGUGAACUCUAUGACUUUCAGAAGGAAGCCAAUAAGGCCCAAUGUUUCCAACCAAUCCACUCCAAAAACCAUGUCACACCCGACUACUGCCAGAAGGUGGAAGUCAGCACGGAAGUCAUACCCCCGAAGGUGAACAGAGACAUUGCGAGCCAUACCCUUUGUGCGAAAGUAGCGGCCCGUGGCCACCAUCACGGCCUCAUUGGAAGUUGAAUCAAUUGGAAGACCUAAACGGGCAGCGACCUGAGGAUUAAGAAAACUCUGGUCAGCCCCAGAAUCGAUGAACACUUGAAUCCGAGUAUGGUGGAGGACGCCUUCCAAAUGCAUAGCUCGUCCCCGGGAACGCUUUGUAGCCGAGAUGGCAUUGAGAGCAAUAGGUGGCGCCGGUUGGUCCCCUAUGGAAGGGUCAAGUGGGUUGGAGGUCUUGGGUUUCGACUGGAAGUCAGAGAAAUCCUCAUCCGCCAAAAGCAUGAGGAUGUGGGAUUGCCGACAACGAUGACCCGGCCAAUACUGCUCAUCACAAUUAAAACAGAGCCCAUGUUCCCUCCGUGCGCGCAUUUCGGCUUGGGCGAGGCGUAAUAUGGGCUUAGGGGGAAAAGUCGGUGUGGCGGCCGGUAAGGAACGGGAAGCAGGAGUGGACAUGAAGGGCACAACGGUGGAAUGAAAGAAAGGUUUAGAGGGGGUGGAGGAGGACCGAGGAAAAUGGUGUAUGGUCGUAGGACAGAAUGGAAGGACCGGCUACAAACGGGGUAGUGCGUGAGGGAGAAGGGGAAGUGCUCCAAGUGGGUAGGGGAAGGGUGGUGUGGGCAAUGGAAAAGGGCCCGCAUCCGAGCGAAACCGGAAUGGAACCAAUCAGAAUCUAGGGACUGGGUUGGGUUGUGGGUGGGUGUUUUAAAGAUCGAAUCUCCUCGAUGAGGGUCUGCUGAAAUUUACUUUGUUGAGUCUGGUGAACAUUUAGGCUGGCGAGAGACUGUUGCAGAUCCGCCAUAUGAUGCUGAAAAUCAUCUUGACGGAGGUUUAUCAGCGUCAUUGCCUCUUGGAAUCCAUGUAGUUGGGUGAGGAUUUGCUGCUGCUGAAAGUCCAGGUCAAGCUCCGCCUCGGAAACCUCGGCCACCGUCACAGAGGCCUUGCUCUUGCCCAUGGACGCCCAACUAGGCUCUGAUACCAAUUGAUAGGACUCCAAUUCACAGAGGAAGAAAUAAAAGGAAGACAGCUAAGUUAGGUAGAAAAGUUAAAGCAUAUUCAUUUCAUAAUCCGAGGAGAUACAAUUGGGGGUGCUUAUAACCCAUUAGCCAACACAAACAAAAGGCUCAAGUGCUGAGUCAUCCUCUAAUAACUACUCUCACUACAAUAAAGGAUAGUAAUAAAAGGUAAAGAAGGUGGACCCGAUAAGGUUCUAACAGUAGCUGAAACUGGGUUGCUAGGUUUUGUUGUGAACUUGCAACUAGCAACUACGUUUAUGGAUGAAACAAAUUCUCUCAUAUCUGCUUUGUCUAGAAGCUGCUUUAGGAAAAGUGAUUCUGUAUUAAUUAAUAAAACACUCGUUAACCAAAAUCAUGUGAAAUUAUCAAUUUAAUCCUUUAAUUAAAACAUAACAUAAAUAAGAAAUAUAAGACAUAAAUGUAAUUUCAUAUUACUAAAUUUUACUGUUUUUUUUUUCAAAGCCUCACCUACAUACACUCCCACAUUCUCUAUCACUCUCUUCCACUCUCUUCCACUCUCCUUCUAUUUGAAAAACCCAAAAAAAAAAAAAAAAAAAUUCUCACACUUUGUGUGCGCCCAUAUGCUAGUCUCAUAAUAACAGAAUGACUUACAUGGAUCGAAUACACUUCCAAGCAGUCGCUGGUUUAGAAAAUAUUGCUACAAUGUGACGAUACUUAAAACAAUAAUGCGUUGACAUAUAAGAUCUAUGUGUGGGCUAAGUCCUUCAUAAUAAUACUCAGAAUUUUGAUUCCUUCUUAUUCAUCUCUUGAUUAAUUUGAUCAAUCAUUCCAAUUCCUUCUUAUUCAUCUCCUGAUUAAUUUGAUCAAUCAUUCCAAUUUCGAAUUAGUAACCGCGUCGUAAAAAUAUUUUUAACUCUCAAACAAAAUUUCCCAGUUAUUUCAGGCUGAGUCAACUCUCUUUACUCUCCAUUUUGGUUGUCCUAGGGUUUUUUUUUUUUUUUGGGUCAAAGGUUGUCCUAGGUUCACUCGUAUGACCUAGGUUUGCUAGUCCUAGGUUCUCCAUCACCUUCACAGCUCCACUCAGAUGCCGUGACCUACAAACAUGCUAUUUUGUAAUAUGGGUUUGUCUUUUAGCUUGGUGUUGUAUAUGCAAAUAUAACCAGUGUUACAUGCAAGAUAGACAAUGCACGUAACGUCGCCGCAAGUCCGAUACAUAACAGAAGAUCCCGGCACAUGUUUUAUCGAUCGAGAUCAACAACCGAAUCAUUUGCGAUACUCGGGAUAGGCAGCGACAACGAAAUUGAAAGGAUAUUCUCGACUAAAGUACUUUCCGGUUAUAUGACAUGGAUGAGAAAUAAUUUACAGGUUCCAUUUCCCUUAAAAUCUCACAACUAUAAUGUUUGUGUCGUCCGGUGAAGAGGUUUGAUACAUUUUUAAGAUUGAAUUACCAAAAGUGAGAUUACACAUGUUUGAGUGAUGCAAAUCCUGUGCUCUAGGCAAGCAUUUCAUGCAUAACUUACUGCACGGGCUGCGGCUGACCUGUAACAUCAGUUCUGUUUCUGCUCCCAGCCAUUCCUGCCCCGUUAGUAGUUGCCGAAUCGCUGAAAGGAAGU